rnacentral:tRNA from 1 species
GUUUUAUUAGUAUAGUUUUGUAUAUUUGCCUUCCAAGCAAAAGGAUUAUUUUGUAAAUAAAGCA